GUUGAAUUCGAUACAAAGUGAAGAACCAUACUAGGGCUUGACAGGCCAUGAAUCCUCUUGAAAGAGAGGGGUGCCUUUGGGAACUCGGACACAGGUGGUGCAUGGUUGUCGACAACUCCUGUCGUAACGUGUUGGGUUAAGUCCCGCAGUGAGCGCAACCCUCAUGUUUAGUUGCCACCAUUGAGUUUGGAACCCUGAACAGACUGCUGGUGAUAAGCUGAGUUGAUAGAUGAGAGAGAUUCUCGACAAAGGAAUGAAGUGAAAGAAAGCAAUAGACCUGCCCUUUAGUUGGAGGUCUACA
rnacentral:ncRNA from 1 species